AUGGGGGGAGCAAGCGUUGUUCGGAUUUACUGGGCGUAAAGGGCGCGUAGGCGGCCAGCGCAAGUCAGUUGUGAAAUCUCCGGGCUUAACUCGGAAAGGUCAACUGAUACUGCGCGGCUAGAGUGCAGAAGGGGCAACUGGAAUUCUCGGUGUAGCGGUGAAAUGCGUAGAGAUGUGGAGGAACACCAGUGGCGAAGGCGGCUUUCUGGUCUGUAACUGACGCUGAGGCGCGAAAGCGUGGGGAGCAAACAGGA
rnacentral:rRNA from 1 species